rnacentral:rRNA from 1 species
UGGGGAAUAUUGCACAAUGGGCGGAAGCCUGAUGCAGCGACGCCGCGUGGGGGAUGAAGGCCUUCGGGUUGUAAACUCCUUUCGACAGGGACGAAGCUUUUGUGACGGUACCUGUAUAAGAAGCACCGGCUAACUACGUGCCAGCAGCCGCGGUAAUACGUAGGGUGCGAGCGUUGUCCGGAAUUACUGGGCGUAAAGAGCUCGUAGGUGGUUUGUCGCGUCGUCUGUGAAAUUCCGGGGCUUAACUCCGGGCGUGCAGGCGAUACGGGCUGACUUGAGUGCUGUAGGGGAGACUGGAAUUCCUGGUGUAGCGGUGAAAUGCGCAGAUAUCAGGAGGAAUACCGGUGGCGAAGGCGACUUUCUGGACUUUUACUGACGCUCAGGUACGAAAGCGUGGGGAGCAAACAGG